rnacentral:rRNA from 1 species
AUAACGUGAUUAAGUUAUUAAGGGCGCACGGUGGAUGCCUUGGCACUAGAAGCUGAUGAAGGACGUUACUAACGACGAUAUGCUUUGGGUAGCUGUAAGUAAGCGUUGAUCCAGAGAUUUCCGAAUGGGGGAACCCAGCACAAGUUAUGUUGUGUUAUCGACAUGUGAAUACAUAGCAUGUCUGAAGGCAGACGCGGAGAACUGAAACAUCUUAGUACCCGCAGGAAGAGAAAGAAAACUCGAUUCCCUGAGUAGCGGCGAGCGAAACGGGAAGAGCCCAAACCAAUGAGCUUGCUCAUUGGGGUUGUAGGACACUCUGCAUGGAGUUACAAAAGAAUCGAUUAGACGAACCGUACUGGAAAGUUGGACCAGAGAAGGUAAAAGUCCUGUAGUCGAAAGUCGAUUCUCUCCUGAGUGGAUCCUGAGUACGACGGAGCACGUGGAAUUCCGUCGGAAUCCGGGAGGACCAUCUCCCAAGGCUAAAUACUCUCUAGUGACCGAUAGUGAACCAGUACCGUGAGGGAAAGGUGAAAAGUACCCCGGAAGGGG